rnacentral:rRNA from 1 species
UACGUAGGGGGCUAGCGUUGUCCGGAAUCAUUGGGCGUAAAGAGCGUGUAGGCUGCUCGGUAAGUCCGCUGUAAAAGUCAAAGGCUCAACCUUUGAAUGUCAGUGGAUACUGCCGGGCUAGAGUCCGGAAGAGGCGAGUGGAACUCCUGGUGUAGCGGUGAAAUGCGUAGAUAUCUGGAGGAACACCGGUGGCGAAGGCGGCAUCCUGGACCGGUAUUGACGCUGAGGCGCGAAAGCUAGGGGAGCAAACGGG